GAUGAACGCUGGCGGCAGGCCUAACACAUGCAAGUCGAGCGGCAGCGGGAAGUAGCUCGCUACUUUGCCGGCGAGCGGCGGACGGGUGAGUAAUGUCUGGGAAACUGCCUGAUGGAGGGGGAUAACUACUGGAAACGGUAGCUAAUACCGCAUAACGUCGCAAGACCAAAGAGGGGGACCUUCGGGCCUCUUGCCAUCAGAUGUGCCCAGAUGGGAUUAGCUGGUAGGUAGGGUAAUGGCCUACCUGGGCGACGAUCCAUAGCUGGUCUGAGAGGAUGACCAGCCACACUGGAACUGAGACACGGUCCAGACUCCUACGGGAGGCAGCAGUGGGGAAUAUUGCACAAUGGGCGCAAGCCUGAUGCAGCCAUGCCGCGUGUGUGAAGAAGGCCUUCGGGUUGUAAAGCACUUUCAGCGAGGAGGAAGGCAGUAAGGUUAAUAAGCUUACUGAUUGACGUUACUCGCAGAAGAAGCACCGGCUAACUCCGUGCCAGCAGCCGCCGUAA
rnacentral:rRNA from 1 species